AAUGGCCUAAGGGCUGAACCAGUAACUUGAACGAAUGAAUAAUGAGUAAUUAUAUAAAGUUCUAGGCAUAAAGGAAUAAUGACUAUUUAUUGUCUAUAAGUAUUGACCAAAUUACGUGCCAGCAGUCGCGGUAAUACGUAGAAUACAAGUGUUAUUCAUGUUUAAUCGGUUUAAAGGGUACCUAGACGGGAAAUCAAACCAUAAAAGGUACUAGUUUCCUUGAGUUUUAUAAGAGAGAAAAGAAUUAUUAGAGGAGAGAUGAAAUUCAGUAAUACUAAUAGGACUGGGUACGGCGAAGGCAUUUUUCUAUGUAAAAACUGACGUUGAGGGACGAAGCCUGGGGUAACGAUAAGGAUUAGAUACCGUAAUAGUCCCAGGAGACAAUUAUGAAUGCCAUAGGCUCGUUAUGUUAGCUUAUAAAUGAAAGUGUAAGCAUUUCACCUUACAAGUACAGCGGCAACGCCGAAACUGAAAUCAUUAGACCGUUACUGAAAACAGUAGUGAAGUAUGUUAUUUAAUUCGAUGAUCCGCGAAUAACCUUACCACAAUUUGAAUAAUAUUAAUAUAUUACAAGUGCUGCACGGCUGUCUUCAGUUAAUGUCGUGAGAUUCUGGUUAGAUCC
rnacentral:rRNA from 1 species